CGGGGAAUAUUGCACAAUGGGCGAAAGCCUGAUGCAGCAACGCCGCGUGAGUGAUGAAGGCCUUCGGGUUGUAAAGCUCUGUCUUUUGGGACGAUAAUGACGGUACCAAAGGAGGAAGCCACGGCUAACUACGUGCCAGCAGCCGCGGUAAUACGUAGGUGGCAAGCGUUGUCCGGAUUUACUGGGCGUAAAGGAUGCGUAGGCGGAUUUUUAAGUGAGAUGUGAAAACCCUAAGCUUAACUUGGGGACUGCAUUUCAUACUGGAAAUCUAGAGUGCGGGAGAGGAGAAUGGAAUUCCUAGUGUAGCGGUGAAAUGCGUAGAGAUUAGGAAGAACACCAGUGGCGAAGGCGAUUCUCUGGACCGUAACUGACGCUGAGGCAUGAAAGCGUGGGUAGCAAACAGGAUUAGAUACCCUGGUAGUCCACGCCGUAAACGAUGAGUACUAGGUGUAGGAGGUAUCGACCCCUUCUGUGCCGCAGUUAACACAAUAAGUACUCCGCCUGGGAAGUACGAUCGCAAGAUUAAAACUCAAAUGAAUUGACGGGGUCAUAGC
rnacentral:rRNA from 1 species